CGCUGGUUAGCUCAUUCGGUUAGAGCGUGGUGCUGAUAACACCAAGGUCAAGGGUUCAGAUCCCCUUACCGGCUA